GCGUAAGUUAGCUGCUUCGGCGAAAGUCCUUGUGCUCGGUAGAAGGGAGGACUGCGGUUGUCCAACGCCGGUACGUUUAUGCCAAGCGCUUCUCAUGCGAGUUAGCUGAUCCAAAAACUACCUCAAUCCACAUUAGCCCGCCAAAUGCUUCCAUCCAGGAACAUUAAUAUAAUCUAACGGCCGAAAAUAGAAUAUGCAGCGCUCCAUAACCUCGUGCCUCCGUACCGCGCGCGAUAACGUAUCCUCGCCACUUAAGCUGUUGUCGUCCAUGGAUGAGGUUCUUGCUCACCGAGCUUUAACCUCCCGCCCGUUCAAAAUCUGUAAAUUUUGUCCAAAAUUCAAAUAUUAUGAUUCUCGGACGGCUGCUGCUUGAACUGUAGAGUGCCCUGUGUGCAAGUGCUUUUGCAAAUCCCUUGCUGUUAGCUGAUGAUUCUGUAGAGUUCUGUUGGUUGCUGUCAUUGUGGGUGUGCAAGACCUGAUCAUUGGCUGUCUCAGUUGCCAUCUCUCUCUUUUACUCCCACGAUGACAGGAAGGAGUUCUGAGAGGAAGAACAGAGAUGAUAUGCGAGACACAGCAAGUACCUAUUUUUGAUUUUGUGUAUAACAUGUAGAAGGCAAGGUAGUCGAAGUGAGCAUAGAUCUUUUCUGAGAUCACGUCAGGAUAUGGUAGUGGAAUCUGAAGCUGGCAAAGUUAUGAGGCAAAGUUGUUUAUUGGCCGAAAGGUAACUCCAUGCUAAAUCUCUUUUACCAAAUAAGGAGUUACAUGUAACUUUGAUAGGAAGAAACUAAAUAUACCGAAGCAGCAACCUUUGAUCUGGACAGCCAUUAGUGUCAGCUUAAUUAUACUUUACCACUGCUCUUUUGCAUAGACAAUACUUGAUUUUUGGAUGGUUCUACCAUUUUCUUUUCCCUUUGUUUGUUCAGAUGUAUGUUAGUUUUUAAUCAAAAUUUUCACCGGUUGGGUAAA